GAGUUAAGCUAGUUAUUAACUCUCGAAACUGAUCAUAGUGGCAUUCUACCUCAGGGCAUAUCUUCCCUUCCCAUCUGCAGAAAGACGGAGCUGAGCGGAACCCAGAGGCAAUUAAGAUCUGCACCACGUGCUGCUUUCAAGAAGAAGGUGAGGAAACACGCUGGCCAUUAUGCAGAGAUCACGGAGAUGAAGGAAGAGUCACGCUAAUGAAGACAGGAAGGACGAUGAACUCAGACUCGGGGAGACAGGAAAGUGAAUAAAAGCACCAGACUGAAACACAGCAGCAAUUUUAUUCCAGCAGCAAUCUUCUGAAACAGAAAUUGGGAUUAAAAACACGUUUAUAAUGAACAACCAGCAACCUCCGCAGACCAGCAGCAUUCACGUGGGGGACAGAGGAUCAGUCAGCAGCAAGGUCAGAAGCUGAAAUGGGUGCUGGAGCCCCAGAGACCCCCAUGAGAAAGAGCCACCAGCCGUCUCUCCCUGCCGCAGUGAGCUGACGGAGCUGGCAAUUCUUCCGCAGGCAUCAAGGUCCUGAUCUUGCUCCCAGCAAAGUCAAAGGCAAAAUUCCCAUUGUAUGAUGGAUCACAACUAAUUUCCUGCAGGCUCGAUGAAGUUGCUCGAACCAGCUUCCAAAAACAAGCCAAUGCAUUUUAAAACCACAGCUGGGGGUCUACUGUAUUAUAACGUGACCCCUGAGAGGGUACAAAUUGCUGUGAGCAGCAGCCGCAGACAAUCUGAGGCAGAUUUAGGGUAUUUCAAGCCAGGGACGGCUCAGCUUCUGCCAUCGCCCUUCUGUGCGGAGGCGAACAGCAAAGUGCAGCCAAUUCCUCCGGAGGAAGCAGCAGAUCAGGCGGCCUUUAUGCAUUAUCCUCAGAGUGCGUGAGGGCAGUCAGCAAUGUAAAUGUCAUGAAAAGACAGUGAGAGUGACAGCAGGAUGACCGGCUGGUUAGGAACUGCACUGCCCACAAGCUGCUUCUGAGUCCUACCAAUAAUCAGAGAAAUUGGACCUAUGGUGGACACCGGAGGCCAUCACCAAGAUGAGAACUUGGCACAUUUUUGCACAUUUCCACCAGCUCAAAUAAUAUCCUUGCUAUUGCCCUCGUAAAACAUUGACCACGGCAGCAGGUCUCUCCAUCCUUCCCAAAUCUGGCAGUGUGGCAGAGCCACAUCAUCUUCAGGUAUCCCUCUUAGAGUUACCCGCUCUUGGAGCAACCAUAUCUGCCCCAGCUUAUUGCACCAUCCACUAAGGGUCAGCACAGAAACCCAAGCAGGCUAGAUCAAAAGCCACAUAGUGAAAAAGAGCUGAAGGCAUCUGUGCUCAAAGCAUGUUCACUCGCACUCAUUUCAGGCCUAAAACUGCAGUGUUUUUCUACCAGUCUUCAGAGGGAAGGAGUUGAAGACCCCCAUCCUGUGAGAGGUUUCUCCUACAAAACAUUGUCCAUGUCACAGAAGAGCUGGAAAUAGUGUCAGGAGGAAGGGUUUGGCCAGUUUGGAUAUUACUCUAAAUCCUUGUCCUUUAGAAUCGCACUAGUUUUACGCAAAGACAACCCACAACACUUGCAUUUGAUCAUAAGUACCAGAAGAGUACAGUUUUUCACAUUGUUACAGCUUCUCCUGCUUGCUCAAACUGUGAUGGAGAACAGAUAAUCUUUAGAAGAAAAGCACAAAUGGAAAGCUGGUUAAAAAGUGGGGAAGCGUCAAUCAGCCACACAAAGCUGACAACAGAUCAAAGACCGUAUCAAUGAUUAACAGGAGUAGAUCAGGGAUUUUUGUUUUUUCAAAGCUUAUUCUGAGCCAGCUGAAAGUGAAAUACGUGGUGCUACAACCUUCCGGUGUGUUUCAGCAUAAAAGAAAGUCCUACUUCAUAUCCAUCAGCAAACUGCAGACCUGGCAUUUCUCUUCACUUCUUCACCCUUCAGUCGAUCAAACAGGCUGUUCUGAGCAUCUGACAACCUUGCUGUAGCCAACUCGAGUUAAACAUCAAAGAAAUAAAAGCCCAAGACCUGGCUUGAUGUUUCGUGUG
rnacentral:lncRNA from 1 species